AGAGUUUGAUCAUGGCUCAGGACGAACGCUGGCGGCGUGCUUAACACAUGCAAGUCGAACGAUGAACCACUUCGGUGGGGAUUAGUGGCGAACGGGUGAGUAACACGUGGGCAAUCUGCCCUUCACUCUGGGACAAGCCCUGGAAACGGGGUCUAAUACCGGAUACUGACCCUCGCAGGCAUCUGCGAGGUUCGAAAGCUCCGGCGGUGAAGGAUGAGCCCGCGGCCUAUCAGCUUGUUGGUGAGGUAAUGGCUCACCAAGGCGACGACGGGUAGCCGGCCUGAGAGGGCGACCGGCCACACUGGGACUGAGACACGGCCCAGACUCCUACGGGAGGCAGCAGUGGGGAAUAUUGCACAAUGGGCGAAAGCCUGAUGCAGCGACGCCGCGUGAGGGAUGACGGCCUUCGGGUUGUAAACCUCUUUCAGCAGGGAAGAAGCGAAAGUGACGGUACCUGCAGAAGAAGCGCCGGCUAACUACGUGCCAGCCGCCGCGGUAAUAC
rnacentral:rRNA from 1 species